rnacentral:rRNA from 1 species
AGAGUUGAUAUGGCUCAGGAUGAACGCUGGCGGCGUGCCUAACACAUGCAAGUCGAACGGGGUAGAAAUACCUAGUGGCGGACGGGUGAGUAACGCGUGAGAAUCUGCCUCAGGACAGGGACAACAGUGGAAACGACUGCUAAGACCCGAUGUGCCGCAAGGUGAAAAAUUUAUUGCCUGAAGAUGAGCUCGCGUCUGAUUAGCUAGUUGGUGGGGUAAGAGCGUACCAAGGCGACGAUCAGUAGCUGGUCUGAGAGGAUGAGCAGCCACACUGGGACUGAGACACGGCCCAGACUCCUACGGGAGGCAGCAGUGGGGAAUUUUCCGCAAUGGGCGAAAGCCUGACGGAGCAACGCCGCGUGAGGGAGGAAGGCCCUUGGGUUGUAAACCUCUUUCUCAGGGAAGAAAAAAUGACGGUACCUGAGGAAUCAGCAUCGGCUAACUCCGUGCCAGCCGCAGC